AUUUUGUGUGAUAUGUUUGAGAAAUGUUGUGGGUAGUUAAGAACAAAUAAUUACAAGCAUCAUGGGAAAAAAGUGCAGUAAGUCCAGGAACUCCUUUGUGAAGAUGGUAAGCAGUGGGCUAUGGAAACAGCUCUCUGAAUGGUACACGGAGAUCUUGGUGUGGUUGCAGAUCCUGAAGUCAGAUAUGAGUUAUCUCCCCCUGGUCCAUCUACAGAGACAGAAGAAGAACUACGUCAAAAGAUGCUAUCCUGUAGGCUACUAGCAUCAAGUGCAUGUAUUCUAAAUUGUAUUGGUUAAAUAGUAUGAUUUAUCACAAGUCAGGUGGUACAUAUUCAUGCGUACAAGUUGUUAGCUUACAAGUGAAAGAGAUUGGCACUAAAUGUACAGUAAUAUUCUUAACCCCUUAGCUAUUUAGAGUUGUUGUUUUCUAUUCAAUUUCCCAAAUGGAUGGAGUCUUUAAAAAAAAAAUUACUUCGUAAAAAAGAAAAACUUAAUGUAAUUUUAAAAAAUGAAGUAUAAAUUCUAACACAUAAGUUGUGUACUGUAUUGUUUACAAGAACAGCAAUUGUUACCACUAGUUAGACACUGCUCUAACUAUGCAAGUAAGAGUUCAUUAAUAAAUUUAAUUUCCUCUUUAGAAGAAAGAAAUAUUUUUUAACUUGAUU
rnacentral:sRNA from 1 species